rnacentral:lncRNA from 1 species
AGAGGAUCGAUGAUCUACAGAUGAACCUCCCACUACAUGCACCGACUCUUUUUGGAGCUAAUGGUCUUUCUCGAACAUCUGCAGCAAUCCUAACAAACUAUGGUAGUUCACUAUAGGCUUGAUCAUUCUAUAAUGACUCAACAAGGGUAGGUAGGAUUUUGAUAGCGAGUUCAGUAUAACAUCCUUGUCCAACUGUUCAUAUAACGGAAAACUAAGUUUACUUAAGCAUUCAAUCUACUCGAUCA